ACGUAUCUCUGACGGCGAGGGUGAGCCCUGCUCUGGACCGAAAGGCCUGUCGAGCGGGUGACCCCGAGUCGCUCAACCUUUACAAACCCACCGUGCACUCUUGUCGGCGGUAGGGGCUUUGCGGCCCCGAUGCCGGUUCACAAACACCGAAACGUUUGAAGAAUGUCUAGCGGACUCCGUUCCGCCUAAAUAUUUAA
rnacentral:misc_RNA from 1 species